rnacentral:rRNA from 1 species
CUAGGGGGCCCCACAGGCUUACCAAACCUAACCAAACUCCGAAUACCGAUAAGUAUGAGCACGGCAGACAGACCAUGGGUGCUAAGGUCCGUGGUCGAAAGGGAAACAGCCCAGACCUCCAGCUAAGGUCCCCAAAUCAUAGUUAAGUGGGAAAGGAUGUGGGAAGGCCAAGACAACCAGGAGGUUGGCUUAGAAGCAGCCAUCCUUUAAAGAAAGCGUAACAGCUCACUGGUCUAAACAAGCCGUCCUGCGCCGAAGAUGUAUCGGGGCUCAAACUAUGUACCGAAGCUGAGGAUUCACACGUAUGUGUGAGUGGUAGCGGAGCGUUCCGUAGGCCUGCGAAGGUGUACCGUGAGGUAUGCUGGAGGUAUCGGAAGUGAGAA